CAAUUAAGGUAGGAAGAAGGGAAAUGGUUAAAACCAACAUACAAUUCAAAAGGUAAAAAAAUAGGUCUAAAUAGUAAUGCACAAGGAAGAUGUAUAAAUAUGCAGGAUCAGAGCUAUACACUAUGACUAGAGACAGGUGCACUGUAUCCAGAACAGUUAAUGAAAAAUAUAUAAAUAAAUAAAAUUCCUUCUAGCUUUGAAGAUGGCAGGGGUGUGGGUGACUAGAUUUAUGUUCUUUUUUUAAUGACUGCAAAAUGAAAAAGAUGUGUUCAACACUCAUCGGACUAUGAAGUGCCCAGAGUGACUGGUCUUCAUCCUUGCUGGGACCAUAUGUGACAGGAGCUGUCCUCCUCGGUGAUAGGACCUGUGUUCUUCUGUGAUAAAACUUGUACUCUAAUGAGAUGCCCGUGUCUUCUUCUGUGAUAGCACCUUCUGUGACUAAAUCAACGUUCUUCUUUGAUAGAACCUUGUGUUUUUCUUUUGUGAACUAAAUCAAAGCCAGAUCUUUCAAAGGGGGUGUUUUUUUCCAAUAAGGAGGUCCCCAAUACUGCAGAACUGUCCUGCAAGUCUCGUCUCUGUGCGAGGUGCAGGUUACUGCAGAAGGUCAAUCAGAAGGUCUCCUUGCAGGUUGAAGACACACUAACCAUCCCUAAAUAAUUUGCUUGUUAGGUCCAGUUAUCUUACUAAUUGUAGGACAUAGUAUCAAAGACUUUGCAUCAACAUUAAUAUCACCAUCAACCCUUGGAACAAAUGGUAAAAAGAUAGCCCAUCUUCAGCCGCUGCGAGUUCCCUGCACAUUUCUUCUGGAAUUCAGGAAGCGUGAUCUGCAGUUGAGCCAACUUAAUCUACAAUGAAGCAUUUUUUUCUCUCUUACACAUAACAGCAGGCACUAGCAAUAUAAAUGAGGCGAAGCAAGAGUCUGCUUCAAUAAAUGAGGAUCAUCUAUUAAAGCCCAGCUUGUUUGUCAAUGACCAGAAUGAGAAAACACUAAAACUAAAACCCUACACGAGGGGACCGGCACUGGGAAACAAACGAGGUCUGCAGAGGACUAUUACAAUCCGU